GAUGAACGCUGGCGGCGUGCCUAAUACAUGCAAGUCGAGCGAACGGACGAGAAUCUUGUUUCUCUGAUGUUAGCGGCGGACGGGUGAGUAACACGUGGAUAACCUCCCUAUAAGACUGGGAUAACUUCGGGACACCGGAGCUAAUACCGGAUAAAAUUUUGAACCGAAUGGUUCAAAAGCGAAAGACUGUCUUGCUGUCACUUAAAGAUGGUUCCGCGCUGCUUUAGCUAGUUGGUAAGGUAACGGUUUACCAAGGCAACGAUGCAUAGACGACCUGAGAGGGGGAUCGGCCACAGUGGAAGUGAGACACGGGCCAGACUCCUACGGGAGGACGCAGUAGGGAAUCUUCGGCAAUGGGCGAAAGCCUGAUGGAGCAACGCCGCGUGAGUGAUGAAGGUCUUGGGAUCGUAAAACUCUGUUAUUAGGGAAGAACAUAUGUGUAAGUAACUGUACACAUAUUGACGGUACCUAAUCAGAAAGCCACGGCUAACUACGUG
rnacentral:rRNA from 1 species